rnacentral:rRNA from 1 species
AGCUCCAAUAGCGUAUACUAAAGUUGUUGCAGUUAAAAAGCUCGUAGUUGGAUUUCUGUGGGGACGGAGCGGCCGGCCGCAACUCGCGGUUCGAGCUAGCGCUUUCCCUACAUCCUGCCGCGAACCGUGCUACCAUUAGUUUGGUGGCGCUGGGGAUCGGCUCGAUUACUUUGAGAAAAAUAGAGUGUUCAAAGCAGGCCACACGCCUUGAAUAAGUUAGCAUGGAAUAAUAACUAAGGACUUCGGUUCUAUUUUGUUGGUGUUCGGGACUGAAGUAAUGAUUGAUAGGGACAGUUGGGGCGGUCAGUAUUCCAAAGCGAGAGGUGAAAUUCUUAGACCUUCGGAAGACUAACAGCUGCGAAAGCGUUCCGCAAGGAUGUUCCCU